CUCUCCCGCAUUCACGGAUGGCACAGCGAGCCACUCUGUAUUUAUGUACAUAAUAAGGCAGCUCGUCCCCUCCACUUCAUUUGCAUCAUUACAAUAUCUGUACAAGCACAUCACAUUGUCUGUUGCUUGCACCUUUUGUUACGGUUGCUGUCACAGUCUACGCGACUUGACUUUCAUAUUUUAAAUGACUUGAUAUUAUACCAACAACACGCACUCACAUCCCAAGCGCUGGGAAACCGGGCUCCGGCACGGCGGGCGCCGCAGCCCCAGCCUCUCCCGAGCCUCUCGCUUCUUCCUCUGAUCCCAAGCAAGGUGGGCUGGGGGGAGCCGCUUCAUAGCAUCAAUUAUUCCUACAAAUUACUCCUAGUCGUAUUAAUUUUCUUUCCCUCUCUAGUGAAGAAAAUGCUCUGGGAGUCUUGGAAUUUUUUUUAAUUUUUUUUUCCAUUGACCAGCCUGAUUUUUGUAUAACCUCAUGUUUCUUCUCACACCUUUCCCUUCCAAAUUCAGCCUUUCGGGCUAUGCACCUGCACGUAAGUGAGGCAGCGGAGAAGCUGGAAGAGGCACAAGCAGACCUGGCGAGUCGUUAUAGCUAGGAAAGAGACAGAAGAGGGAGACGCUGUCGGCAGCCGCGUCCUGGGAUCGCCCUGCACGGAACGACUCCAAAACGAGGAACUGUCGCUCAGGCGGAAAAACUACGGGGAAAGUGGGGUUUGAAGGCUGCAGAUUUUUCCCCGAGCGGGGUCAGACGGGGGUAUGCGAGCCGGGGGCUCAGGGGGCUGAGAGCGGAGCAGUGCCCGCCCGAGCCUCGCCGCGCUGUGCCGGCUCUCCAGCCGCGCUGUCCCGGGACAGCCGCGGUCACUCCUCCACGUGCCACCAGAGACACUGGGGCCGGAGGGGCAGGGAGUCAGCAUUUUCCCCUCAUGCCUGCUGGAAGAGAAGGAUGUUUUUCUUUCCUGUUAAGCUUUCGUGCUAAAGAUGUCAUCUGAAAGUCUGGGAGGAAGGGGGGACCGUGCUCUGCUCUCUUUCACGGUAACAACCAUAUUCUGCAUAUUGAAAAAUAUGAUAGACAGUGAGGGAAAAUUUCAUUCCCCAUAAAAAAAAAAAUAAAUAAAAAAAAAAAAAAGGAAGAAAAAAAUAACACCGAAAAACCCACCCCAACCUUUCCAAUUCAACAAAAAAAGAGGGAGAGAAUUUUAAAAGAGAAGAAGCAGCACCAGCAGCAAGGAGAAUAUAGGCUCAGCAGCUCUCCAGGUUCGCUUCCUUAUUAUUACUAUCCAGGGGUAAUUUUUCAUCUCUGCUAGCUAAUCUUUGUUCCUUGUGAAGAUAAUGAAUAGCCCAAUCCUUAUCUCCUGGGCUCCUGGAGGCUGCUGGAGAAUGGGGUUGAACAGGGUUGAAAAUUGGUUCCAAAGUGCUGCUGAAUAAAUGGUGUUCCUUAUCUCUCGCUUCCAGAUUAUCGGAACCCUUUCAAAACUCACACAACAAAUACAGCCACCGCAUCUAAUGCAUCAUUUACCAGAGCAGAUCUCCGCGUUUGAUCGGCAGAUAGGCAAAAUCUAUGUAUUCCUUGCUUUACUUAGUAUGCAUGGAUGCGGGGCUGCCGUGCACGAGGGUUGCCCCCAGCCGGGCCUGGGACACCCCCGGGGCUCUUCACACACGCGGGUCUUUGCUGUGGAUUCCGUGGAGUGACACGAGGGUCCCCUGCCCAUCCCCGGUCCAGGGGAGCAGGGUGGGACAGCAGCUCACCGUGCAGGGUGCUGCCACACAGCACGCUCGGAAAUUUGGGGCUGCUCUGCUGAGGUACUGGAGGAUUUGCAGGGAAGGGAGAAGAGUUGUGAACAUCAUCCCGGGCACCCCAGGCACCUGCUCAUGCUGACACUCACUCCUGCACCCACAGCCACCUUCACCUGCGUCCCUGGGCACUCACUGCUUCAGGAGUCAAGUGCGUGGCAGCACCUCUGUCCCCAGCCAGGCUCAGCUGUGUCCCAGCCCUGCCCCAGCCCUCAGCACUCUCAGGGUCCAGUUGGGUCAAUCUAGUAAAAACUCCCAGUGCUCCCCCCAGCUUGUUCCCCCCAAACCCUGGCCAUGGAGCCCUGGCAGUCCCUUGGGUCCUCCACGGGCUGGGCUCACUGUCACUUCCACCCCUCACUGUUGGUGCUGGGUGAUCCCUCCAGCUCCCAGCCACAGGCAGGACAGGGCACCUGAGGCAGCCCAAAUUUGGGAAGCAAUUGGUGAUUCUGAGAGACAAAAAUAAACGUUACAAAAAGGGACUUAUUUUCUCCUAGAGUUAGUGUGAAGUCUGUCCCUUCCAGCUCAGGGCAGUAUCAGAUUUCCUUCCUUUCUUUCUCUCUUCCUCUCUUUCUCUACUUCUCUCUUUAUUUCUUGUUUCUUAUUCUCUCUUCCCCUCCCCAACCCCAUUUUUUCCCCCUCCCAAAACCUAUCUAUAUAACAGCAAAUGCCUCCCAGUCUGGGUGUGUAGCCCCCAGCCCCAGAACAGGAGAUCCCCCCACCCUGAGCUAAGGACAGAGGUCCCUUUGGCUCACCCAACCCUUCUUUCUUCUGGUAGUACCUGAGCUUGUGCCCAGGAAGCAGAGAAGGAAACAUUUUGUCCUGCAGCACAUCACAUAUCACUGGCACUGCCCUGGACCCCCAGGCCAGGGGGACAAUGAGAUUCUGGUUUGGGGACAGGACACCCACAGUCUCCUGGUCCCCUCUGCCUGUCCAGCAAAGCUCAUCUUGUCCCUGCCUGGAAAGAGAAACUUUCAUGGGAUGUUUCAGGCAAGCAGCAGCCCCUGCCCGUGCUUGAGAGUUUUGCAAAUGUUCAACUUGUACUAAUUUUAUAUGGCUGUAUUCACAGUUGUUCUCUGUAAAAAAUGGACCUGUGUUAGUUUAUUAAUAACCUAAACAUUACGCAUUAAAGACCUAUGAGUGACACAAGAUGACAAAAAGCUGUAUUUUUCCAAUAUACACAAGCACACAUUUAAUAACCUUCUAUUGCAUCUCAGCUAGGCCUUCUCUCUGAUGGUUCCCAUGGCAACUGAGAUAAAAAAGCAGCCAUUUUCCAUAUCUCUAUGAAAGUCUAUUAUAUUGCAGGAUUAGUUCAUCUUCUGCUAAGGUCAAACACAAAGUCAUACAACCUGAAAUAUUUAGAAUCCAUGUACAUUCAUUUUUUUAUAUGCCCUUUCAUUUUCCACAAAAGACUGGGCUCCUCUGAGGUUUUA